AAACCAGCACCUCAAGUAGUCAGGAGGAUUAUUGGGCCUAAAGCAUCCGUAGCCUGUUCUGUAAGUUUUCGGUUAAAUCCAUUAGCUCAACUAAUGGGCCGCCGAAAAUACUGUAGAACUAGGGAGUGGGAGAGGUAGACGGUAUUCGGUAGGAAGGGGUAAAAUCCUUUGAUCUAUUGAGGACCACCUGUGGCGAAGGCGGUCUACCAGAACACGUUCGACGGUGAGGGAUGAAAGCUGGGGGAGCAAACCGGAUUAGAAACCCGGGUAGUCC
rnacentral:rRNA from 1 species